AAUUCAAGCUGAUGGGAAAAAGAAACUUCCGGUUGCAUCAUCGACCUUGAAAAAGGAUGAGAAAGAGUACUUUCGGUUUUUUUCCUCCCGACGCCGGCCCCCUCCUUCGCCGGACCUCCACCCCAAGCGCGGCACCCCCGACCUCCUCCUCCACCGGCCCCGCCUCCGACCAUCUACUGCAGCGCCACUAACCUCCACCGCGUGGCGCCCCGGACCUCUACCCCCGGCGAGGCACCCUAAAGCUCCGUCCCGCGCGGGCCCUGACCUCCUCCGCAAGGCGCCCCGAACCUCCGCCCCCGACCCACGACCGCCGCCGGCCCCCUCCUCGAUCCAACCCCUGACCGGGGCCGGGCCCCUUCUCCUCCUUCCCCGACUGCCGCCGGCCCCCUUCCCCAACUCGUCGGCUGCCAUUGGCACGCACUCGUCGCCGGCAGGUUACUGAUGCUUUAGCUUGAGCAGGACUUGAAUCAUCAAAUCUUAUUGUCGGCAUUGAUUUCACAAAGAGCAACGAGUGGAUAGAUGAGUCGGCAAUGGAUGUACAACGCCGACCAACGUUCAAUGGAGUUUAUUAAUGGCGUGCACGAAUUCAUCGAUGCGGCCAAGAAACACAAGCAAGACGGUUUCUUUCGUUGUCCAUGCCGAAUAUGUAAGAACGAGAAAUAUGGAGUUUACUUGUCAACAAGAACCAUUCACAGUCACUUGUUCGAAAAUGGUUUCAUGCCUAACUACAAUGUUUGGACCGAGCAUGGAGAAAGAGGGAUGAUGCUAGAGAAUGAUGAAGAAGAAGAUGAUUUUGUUCCUCACUUUGAGGAAUAUUACUAUGGUGCCUUCUUUGAAGAUACUACAAUGGGUGAGCUUGAAGUAGAUGCUGAAGCAUAGGUUGCAGAAGAUGAUCUAGGUCAGAUGCUGUGCGAAGCAGAGGAAGUAUGCGAAACUGUAAAGGAAUCCAAGGAUCUGAAACUUAUGUUGGAGGACUACAGAACAUUGUUGUAUCCAGAUUGCAAACAAGGGCACAAAAAGUUGGGUAUCAUAUUGGAAUUGUUGCAAUGGAAGGCAUCAAACGGAUUCGAGGAGUUGCUGAAACUUAUAAAAAAACUACUCUCUAAGGCAAGACGUUCUGUUUGUCCUCUAGGAUUGGGAGCAUAAAAGAUAUAUGCAUAUCCUAAUGACCGCAUCCUCUAUAGUGGCGAGGAGAAUGAAAGCAUGUCUGUCAGCCUUGGUGGCUUCGUACAUCGAGGAGCACAAGCAAAUCAUACGAAGCAAGUACCCUUGGAAGUCUGAAACCUGGAUUACAAAGCAUCAUAUCGAUACUUUUGCCACCUAGUUACGCACGGAAUUUAUGGCCAACGAGGACAUUCAUGAACAACUUGCUUAGAUGGCCAGGGGUCCAUCUAAUACAAUCUUGACGUACCAAGGAUAUGAAAUUAAUGGAUACACAUUUUACACAAGAUCCCAGGACAAAAAGAGCACCAAUCAAAAUAGUGGUGCCCGUAUAGAAGCUAUAUAUACUAAUGGCCAAAGAAACUCAUAUUUUGGUUACAUUGCGGAGAUCUGGGAACUCGACUAUGGGCCUUUAAAGAUUCCUAUAUUUCGUUGCCAAUGGGUGAAGCUGACUGGAAAAGGCAUUGAUAUUGACGCAUACGGAAUGACAACCAUAGACCUCAAAGAGCUUGGCUAUCGAGAUGAACCAUUCAUCCUAGCCAAAGAUGUUACUCAAGUUUUCUAUGUAAAGGACAUGUCCAGCAAACCCAAGAAGGAUAUGUCUUGCAAAUCAAUGAAGGACAACUCAACAGAUGAUGAGCCAAAGCGCCACAUAGUUCUAGCAGGUAAAAGAAAAAUUGUGGGAGUUGAUGAUGUCACAAAUGAAGAAGAAUACAAUAAGGCUGAAGACAUGACUCCGUUCGCAGUGGAUGCUGAAACAAGUAUCCUUUUAGCUUAGGAGGACGCUCCCUACGUAUGCCAUGAUCAUAAUGAAGGGACAAAUGUAAAG